GACGAACGCUGGCGGCGUGCUUAACACAUGCAAGUCGAACGGAAAGGCCUGCUUUCCCUUGUGGAUUGCGGGUACUCGAGUGGCGAACGGGUGAGUAACACGUGAGUGAUCUGCCCCCAACUUGGGUAUAAGCCUGGGAAACUGGGUCUAAUUCCCGAUAGGACUGCAGGGUGGUGCCUGUGGUGGAAAACGAUUUUCUAGUGGUUGGGGAUGAGCUCGCGGCCUAUCAGCUUGUUGGUGGGGUAAUGGCCUACCAAGGCGGCGACGGGUAGCCGGCCUGAGAGGGUGGACGGCCACAUUGGGACUGAGAUACGGCCCAGACUCCUACGGGAGGCAGCAGUGGGGAAUAUUGCACGAUGGGCGGAAGCCUGAUGCAGCGACGCCGCGUGGGGGAUGACGGCCUUCGGGUUGUAAACUCCUUUCGACCGCGAGGAAGCCACCUGGUUGGAAGGGUGGUGACGGUAGUGGUAGAAGAAGCACCGGCUAACUACGUG
rnacentral:rRNA from 1 species